UAUUACUUUGGGAAAGAUGCUGACCUGAAAUUGGGUCAGUCCUGUUGCUGUGAGCAUUUGAAUGUCAGAUUGGAAGGCUGCAAGAUGGCUGCAAUGGAAGAGGAAGAGUAAUAAGUAAUCUGUGAGAAGUUCAAAUCUAAUCAUCAUCAGGACCAUUCAGAAGGCAAUGCAUAUUUCUUUUAUGAGGGUUGGCUUCACUCUCAGCCAUGUGACUUAUGAAAACAACAGAUCCCACUAUGGAGAUUGCUGCAGGGUAGAAAGCAGGAGAAUACCAAUCCAGGUGAAUGAAGGCAAGAAAAAUAGGAAACGAGUAAAAUCUGUGUUCUCUGACACCUA